CCGGCAGAUGUUUGAGGGACGACGGGGUGACGUCAGAAGCGACAUCAUCAACAAUAGCUGCUGUGUGAGCGCGCGUGCGAGUGGAUCAAUCAGCCGAUCUCGAAUCGAUCAAGGAUGUCGUUCCAAAACAAGAAGAACAGCACGAGACCCGCGGGCGACCGCCUGGUCAUCAAAGGAGGAAAAGUGGUGAAUGACGACCAGUCGUUCUACGCAGACGUCUACAUCGAGGACGGGACCAUCAAACAGAUCGGUGAAAACCUGAUCGUCCCGUCCGGUGUGAAGACUGUGGACGCCUACGGUCAGCUGGUGAUCCCCGGAGGCAUCGAUGCCAACACCAGUCUGCACGCCCCGCAGAAAGGCCUGAACCCGGCCGACGACUUCUACCACGGAACCAGAGCCGCCCUGUCCGGAGGAACCACCACCAUCAUGGACCACGUGUUGGUGGAACCAGGGACUAGCUUACUGUCAGCGUUUGAUCAGUGGAAGGAGACGGCAGAGCAGCAGGCGUGCUGCGACUUCUCCCUCCACCUGGACAUCACCCGCUGGCAUGAAGGGCUGUACGAGGAGCUGGAGACACUGGUCAAAGAUAAAGGUGUGAACUCCUUCCUGCUCUUCAUGACCUACAAAGAUAAAUUCCAGAGCUCCGACUCUCAGCUCUACGAGGCAUUCGGGGUUCUUCGGGAUCUCGGAGCGAUGGCACAGGUCCACGCUGAGAAUGGUGACAUCAUUGAUGAGGAGCAGAAGAAGCUUCUGUGUCUCGGCAUCACUGGACCUGAAGGACAUGUUUUAUCUCACCCUGAAGAGGUGGAGACGGAGGCGGUGUAUCGGGCCAUCACCAUUGCCAAACAGGCCAACUGCCCCCUGUACGUUACCAAGGUGAUGAGUAAAUCUGCUGCUGAUGUCAUCGCUAAAGCAAGGAAGAAAGGUAUGGUGGUGUACGGGGAACCAAUCACAGCCAGCCUGGCUACUGACGGCUCUCAGUAUUGGUCCAAAGACUGGGCCACAGCUGCUGCCUUCGUCAUGAGCCCACCCCUCAAUCCAGACCCUUCAACUCCGCAGUAUCUGACCUCCUUGUUAGCAUGUGGGGACCUCCAGGUGACCUCCAGUGCUCAGGCCAGCUUCUCCACCGCUCAGAAAGCUGUUGGUAAAGACGACUUCACUUUGAUCCCGGAGGGAACCAACGGCGUCGAGGAGAGGAUGUCGGUGGUCUGGGACAGAGCUGUGUCGACGGGGAAGAUGGAUGAGAAUGAGUUUGUUGCAGUAACGAGCACCAAUGCUGCUAAACUCUUCAACAUGUACCCUCGUAAAGGAAGGAUCGCCGUCGGAUCGGACGCCGACAUCGUCAUCUGGAACCCGAAGGAAACACGAACUGUUUCUGCAAAGUCUCAUAACCUGACGCUGGAGGUCAACAUCCUGGAGGGUCUGGAGCUUCGAGGCGUCGCAUCGCUGGUGAUCAGUGCCGGCCGAGUCGUCCUGGAGGAUGGAAAGCUCACCGUCGCAGAAGGUUCUGGACGCUUCAUUCCCAGAAAGGCAUUUCCAGACACCGUCUAUAAGAGGAUCAAAGCCCGCAGCAAGGUAGCAAACAGAUGGCCGAGGCUCGCGGCGUUCCACGUGGAAACUAUGAUGGUCCGGUCCAUGAUGUCAUCAGUAUGACCAAAUCGGUCCCACCCACUCCGACCACCAGGGGGCCCCCAUGUCCAAAGACCCAGCCUGGUCCCCGAAACCUCCACCAAUCAGGAUUCACCCUGGCUGGAGCUCAGAUUGACGACCACAUCCCUCGCCGCUCGGCUCAGAGGAUCGUAGCGCCUCCUGGUGGUCGGUCCAACAUCACGUCGUUAUCGUAAAGAGUCAGAGAGUGGCUUCAGUUUGUUCUGAAGUUCCUGCGUUUCUACCAACAGCUGAAUCUUAGUACAGUGGUACUGUAGUUAGCGCUGAAUGUUACAACUUGGUGUUUUGAAUCUUCUCAGAAAUCCAACUUUACUGAAUAACGUUUCAUCAUGUCCUUCCUAAAACUCGUCCUCAUGUCUGUCAGCUCUGACAGUAGUCAUAGUAGUGAUAGUAGUAGAAGUACAACCAUGUUUCCUUUCACCUGACUGUACCAUUGAUUCACCUAUCAGACCUCUCCAGGUGUUUCUCUCUGACAGCUGGAAACAUCCUCGUCUUUCCAUGAACUCUGUGUGUUUGUUGUGAAUUCGAUCCACUGUAGUCAGUCUGGAACAGGACCUGAUUGAAUCAAUCAGUCAGUAUUGUUUGAUCAGCUUCGUCUCUGAAUCAGACUAACGCUGUGGAUGGUGCUAAUAAAUCCAGUGUAGCCUGCUAGUAGCAAUCCCUUCAAACCACGCCCCCUGCAGGAAGUAAACACAUUGACCCCACCCCCACAAGUGUGAAGCACUGAUGUCAUCAUCACAGAAACAGCUGAUCAUAGAUGUAUUAACGAGCCCACUGCACAUGCUCACUACAGUUUCUGACGUCCAUCAUUCCAUCAGUUCUGACAGUUUCCCUUAAUUAAAGGACUUUUUUAGUCAUUAGUCAGUGUGGGAUCGAGACCUUUUAAAGGAAGUAACAUUGUUACUGCCCUUUAACAGCUGACCUCCGGGAGGCAUUGUACGACUGGAUCCAGCUGGAAGACGUCAAUAACAUCGACCACAACCUCUGACGACCCUACAACUGACCUGUUUUCAGCGUGUGAUGUCACAGUUGUCUCCUCCAAUAGCUAGCCUGCUAUGGCCUCUGAUUUUUACUGGUGUGGUUGGUUUCUAAAGAAUCCACGAUCAUUUUGUAUUUUUUACAGUUUUUGUAACCUGGAGUUGUUAGCAUGAGCAUAGUGUUAGCAUUAGUGUAGUAUUAGCAUAGUGUUAGCAUCAAUGUAGUAUUAGCAUGGUGUUAGCAUUAGCGUAGUGUUAGCAUCAAUGUCGUAUUAGCAUAGUGUUAGCAUAGAGUCCAUGCAGCCACCAGCAGUCAUUUUGGUGCUUCGCUGUUGCUAUAGUAACAUGUUGUUAGAGGAUGUGAUGGAGAACAGACGGUGUACAUCAGCAGAGUACAGCCAAGUGAUUCUAAACUUUGUCCCCUCACAGUAAUCAGAUUGCUUCUGUCUCUGGUAUCAGAUUACAAACUCAGAUUCUAUAUUAAAUUCAGGCUCCACAGCAGGAACCUGGUGGAACUAAGGUGAGGUUCUUUGGUUUCUCCUUCAGUCCUGAGCAUGGAGGAGACCAGAGUCCACUCGUUUCUGCUCACAUCUUCUCACAUUCUUCUGUGUUCUUCAGCUGCUCUUUGCUGGAGGGGUUGUGUUGCUCUACCUUUCUUUGGAGAACACCUCAAAGGUCCUGCUGGCUUCAGGACUCACACUGUCCAGGUCCUGGUUCCACUUGGUUCUAGUGGAGAAGCUCUGGUGUGAUGUUGUCCCUUGGAUGUUCUCCUGCUGGAAUGUUCCUCUUCUUCAUCUGGUCAGCCAGUAGUCUUGUUCCUCCUCAGACCUUCAUGCUGCAUCUAAAAAUGUCUUCAACACCUUCUGACCUCAUGCAGCCCCAGAUCAUCACACUCCCACCUCCGUGCUUCACUGUCAGGACCAUCCAUCCACUGUGGUAGUCCUGGUCAGGUUCUCACCAAACAUCUGGACUCCAUCUGAGCCCAACUCAUUGAUCUUCAUCUGACCAGAGAGUGUUAUCCAGCAUCCAUCAGGCUUCUUCUCAUGUUCUUCAGCAAACUUUCAUCUGGAAAUUUAGUUCUGAGCAGCCACCAGGUUUAGUUCUGGUCCUCCGUCCAUAGAGGAUGAUGUUCUGAAGGUUCCUCCACACUGUCUGAGCUUCACACUAACUCUGGUUUCCAUGGAGAACCCUUGAACCAAGUCUGAAGCAGCUGAUGUCUGUUUUUACAGCUGGAUGGAGAAAGUAGUUCACUGUCUGUGGAGUCAUUUUAGGAGCUCUGAUCAGUGGAACUAUGACUCCUUCUAGACCUCCUGAUUAGUGGAACUAUGACUCCUAGACUUCCUGAUUAGUGGAACUAUGACUCCUCAGAUGUUUUUCUUCCUCUGUUCAGUUCUUCUCCAUGUGGAACCAUGAUGCAGACAUAGAUAGACCCAGUCCAUAGGUCCAGAACUGAGAACGUUCUGCUGUUUUCAGCUCCUUUUAGAACCAUGUUCAUCGGGUAGACUGACUGAAUCACAGCUGGACUCAGUUUGGUUCUUUUGAGUUCCUAAUCUGGCUUUCUAAGUCUUUGGUAAAGGAUUUGUACGUGCCCUAAACAUUUAGUGACACCUCUUCUUGUUGUUCAUAUGGUCAAACUGAUUCCACAUGAAGCUAUAGCAGCUAGCUUAGCUUAGCUGACAGAAAAUAGAGGAAACAAGUAGCUUAGCUUAGAUUAAAGACUGGAAACAGGGAAGCAGCUAGCUUAGCUUAGCUGCUAGAAAACAGAGAAAAUAGCUAGCUUAGCUUAGCUGUCAGAAAACAGAGGAAGCAACUAGCUUAGAUUAAAGAUUGGAAACAGGGAAGCAGCUAGCUUAGCUUAGCUUAAAGACUGGAAACACCUGGUUACAGCUGGAUCCAACAUGGCGGUGGUGCUUUUUCCAUCCUGUCAGAUGUGCUGGAGCCAAAAUGGAGGACUGAGCUCUUUGUGCUACCAUGGCAGUAUGUACAGGAGGGUGUUACCAUGGCGACAGUGCUUCUGUUGUUGUUGUUGUUGUUCCUGUGGUGAAUGUAAAAAUUCUUCAUGUUGUGAUGAGAGCUGCAUGAAUAAACCAGAGAAACACAA